UACGUAGGGGGCAAGCGUUGUCCGGAAUCAUUGGGCGUAAAGGGCUCGUAGGCGGCCAACUAAGUCGGACGUGAAAUCCCUCGGCUCAACCGGGGAACUGCGUCCGAUACUGGAUGGCUUGAGUUCGGGAGAGGGAUGCGGAAUUCCAGGUGUAGCGGUGAAAUGCGUAGAUAUCUGGAGGAACACCGGUGGCGAAGGCGGCGUCCUGGACCAACACUGACACUGAGGAGCGAAAGCCAGGGGAGCAAACGGG
rnacentral:rRNA from 1 species